GACGAACGCUGGCGGCGUGCUUAACACAUGCAAGUCGAGCGGUAAGGCCCUUCGGGGUACGACGAGCGGCGAACGGGUGAGUAACACGUGGGUGACCUGCCUCUAGCUCUGGGAUAAGCCUGGGAAACUGGGUCUAAUACCGGAUAUGACUCCACGGCGCAUGUUGUGGGGUGGAAGGCCUUGUGUGGCUAGAGAUGGGCCCGCGGCCUAUCAGCUUGUUGGUGGGGUGAUGGCCUACCAAGGCGACGACGGGUAGCCGGCCUGAGAGGCGACCGGCCACACUGGGACUGAGACACGGCCCAGACUCCUACGGGAGGCAGCAGUGGGGAAUCUUGCGCAAUGGGCGAAAGCCUGACGCAGCGACGCCGCGUGAGGGAUGACGGCCUCGG
rnacentral:rRNA from 1 species